AGAGUUUGAUCCUGGCUCAGGACGAACGCUGGCGGCGUGCUUAACACAUGCAAGUCGAACGGAAAGGUCUCUUCGGAGACACUCGAGUGGCAAACGGGUGAGUAACACGUGGGUGAUCUGCCCUGCACUUCGGGAUAAGCCUGGGAAACUGGGUCUAAUACCGGAUAGGACCAAGAGAUGCAUGUCUUUUGGUGGAAAGCUUUUGCGGUGUGGGAUGGGCCCGCGGCCUAUCAGCUUGUUGGUGGGGUCACGGCCUACCAAGGCUCCGACGGGUAGCCGGCCUGAGAGGGUGUCCGGCCACACUGGGACUGAGAUACGGCCCAGACUCCUACGGGAGGCAGCAGUGGGGAAUAUUGCACAAUGGGCGCAAGCCUGAUGCAGCGACGCCGCGUGGGGGAUGACGGCCUUCGGGUCGUAAACCUCUUUCACCAUCGACGAAGGUCCGGGUUUUCUCGGAUUGACGGUAGGUGGAGAAGAAGCACCGGCCAACUACGUGCCAGCAGCCGCGGUAAUACGUAGGGUGCGAGCGUUGUCCGGAAUUACUGGGCGUAAAGAGCUCGUAGGUGGUUUGUCGCGUUGUUCGUGAAAACUCACGGCUUAACUGUGAGCGUGCGGGCGAUACGGGCAGACUGGAGUACUGCAGGGGAGACUGGAAUUCCUG
rnacentral:rRNA from 1 species